GGAGAGGAAUCCAUUUGUGGUGUUUCAAAUAAAGAACAUAUGUUCUCUGAGAUCUCUAUUCAAUGCUCGAAUGCCUAUUUAUUUUUCCUAUUUCUCCUAUAAAGAAAUAAGAAUUGUCUGAAGAAACAAAGACUGCUUAUUGCUAACAUACAAGUUUGCAUGACUGUCUAGAUGAAGUUUUCCUCACUAAUUACGAUUCUUUACUCCUAGGUAUAUAUCCAAGGGAAACGAAGACAGGCGUGUGUCCCAAAAGGACUUGUACACAAAUGUUCACGGUGGCAUUAGUCAUAAUAGCCCCAAAGUGGAAACAACCCAAAUGUCUGUCAAUGGAUGAACGGAGAAGCAAACUGUGUUAUAUCUGUACAAUGGGCUAUUAUUUGGCAAUACAAAGGCUUGAAGUAUGACACGUGCGACACUGUGGAUGAACCUUGAAAACAUUGCGCCGAGUGACCAUAUGUUGGAGAAUUACACUUACAUGAAAGGUCCUGAACAAGUGAGUCCAGAGAGAGAGAGAGUGGGUGAGUGGGGGCUGGGUUGGAGUGACGCAAUGGGCCUGGUGCAGACAGGAACAGGGUUUCUUUUAGAAGGGACAAAAAUGUCCUAAAAUUAGAUACAGAGGAUGUUUGCACAGUCCUGUGAAUAUAUUAGAAACCAUUGAAUUGUAUACUUUAAGUGGGAGAAUUCAAUGGAAUGUGCAUUAUAAGUCGAGGAAGCUGUUACACACACACAAUUCUUACACACAAAGAGCUCCGAAUCACUGCAUUCAAGAUAUUUCCAUGUCAUUCUUCUGAUAAUUAUCAAAAUAAUUAGAUCUGGGACUCUGGCAAUUUAGGUUUUUUCCCCCUUUUUUUACAAGUUCAGACAGCAAUUUCUGCUAUUGUUAGAAUAGAAAAGUAUUUCUAGUUUCCAAAACAGUCUUGCUCAAAGUCAUCCUGAGGUGUGAACAGUCUUCCUGAGGCAUGAAUUGUCAUCCCGAGGUAUAAACAGCCAUCGUGAGGUCUGAACAGCCAUCGUGAGGUGUGAACGGCCUUCCUGAGGUAUGAGUAGUCAUCCUGAGGUAUGAACAGUCAUCUUGAGAUGUUAACAGCCAUCCUGAGGUAUUAACAGCCAUCCUGAGAUGUGAACAGCCCUCCCUCCUGAGGUAUGAACAGCCCUCCUGAGGUAUAAACAGUUUUCCUGAGGUAUGAACAGUCAUCCUGAGAUGUGAACAGCCAUCCUGAGGUACGAACAGCCAUCUUGAGGUAUGAACAGCCCUUCCGAGGUAUGAACAGUCUUCCUGAGGUAUGAAGAGUCAUCCUGAGAUGUGAAUAGCCAUCCUGAGGUAUGAACAGCCCUCCUGAGGUGUAAACAGUCUUCCUGAGAUGCGAACAGCCAUCCUGAGGUGUGAACAGUCUUCCCGAUGUAUGAACAGUCAUCCUGAGGUGUGAAUAGUCAUCAUGAGGUGUGAACAGCCUUCCUGAGAAGGACACCCCACUGGUGGAUCCCUAGGGAAGAGUCUGCUGUCCUCAGCACCUACCCCUUUGCGGUCUCCCUACCAUUGGAGAGGACGUCCCCUAACCUGGGCGUCUCAAGCCAGUCGCCACAUCGUCAAAAUGGUCUCACAAGAAACGGGAGACGGCCAGCCGGAACUUCUGUCUCCAAAUCAGAGGAACCACCGACUUGGCUCCAUACUAAAUCCCCCAACCGGGAGCAUCCGCGAGCAUCCAUCAGAGUUUCAGGAGUGGGAAGCACAACUACAAUAAAAGAAGAAAACACGAGGGGCUCUGGAUGGCUGUCGGAUGCACCACGGGCCAGGCUAUAGUCCCCAGUUACUCAAGCCCGGACAGGUGCUCCUGGGGAGAGACCCCAAGGAGGUGAGGGCAGCCCCUGCUGGCUGAGGUGAGGACAGUUAUCUUCAAUGACGCGGGCGAGCCUGAGAAAGGCGGGGGAGAGAGGAAAUUCUGCCCGGGCCUUGGAGCCUUGUCCUUCGGUGGCAGACGCUGUACUUACUGUUCUUUGGGGACAGAUGGGCACCUGAUUCCUUCAACGGGCAGGUAAUAUUCCAGUGUGUGGAUAUACCACAUUGUAGUCGUGUAGUCUACAGGCGGUGGACGUUUGGGCGCUUCCGACUGGGGCUGCCGUGAAGAAGGCCACCAGCGUUUGCCUGGACGUGCGUUCAGUUCCCUCAGGCAUUUAUCUAGGAGCCGGAUGGAGUCUCGUGUUUGACCUCUUGAGUUUCCUUAAGGGAAGGGACUACGUCUCUUCCUUCGGUAUUCCCAGCACCUGGAAAAGCCCCACGUAAAAUAAACAUGGUGUUGAAGCAAAGGGAGGAUAAUCACGACCCAACGGCCUAUGAGGCAGGUGAAAUUUUCGUCACCCCCGUGGUUCAAGUGGGCAAAGU